rnacentral:sRNA from 1 species
GUAGUGUAUAUAAAUCUAUAACCGUAUCCCUCUGGUGUCGGUGAGCCUAAAUCGAGCAGCGCCAUUCCAUAUCCCUUUCAUAUUAGGGCAUUGUAUCGAUUCAACAGAUCCUUUAUUUCCCCUUGCCAGUGGCCAGCCUCCAUGGCUAUCACGCGAGCGGUCUUGCCAUCUCCUGUCUUCAUACCUCGUGUAAAAGUCGGAUGUUUCAAUACCGCUUUUAAUAGGAUUGGGUCACCUAGCUUCGCCGCAUAAUGCACUGUAGCCCACCCAUCCUGACCGACAAUGUCGCCGACAUCAUCAAGUUCCAGGAGGAUAGCGGCACAGUCAAUACUUUCAUGGCGUAGUGCCUCAAUCAGCGCCGUAUUUCCGUCGUUGUUCUUCCGCGUUAGGAUCAAUUUUCCAUCGCCUGGCAGCUGCAACAGGGUUUCCAGUGAAUCACUCUCCCCUUGCAUGCAAGCAUGGUGAAUUAUGCUAUUCCCGGAAUUAUCCAACAAAUCUAGCUUCGCUCCAUGUCGAGUCAGACACUUCAUGCACUCCAAAUCAUCCACGAAAUCAAAUAUGGGCGGCCUUCCGUCCUCAUCUUGCGCGUCAAUGUCCAAUUUGGCCGUAUUGCUUGCGUCGCAUAAUAACGCCACUGUCUCACACUUCUUCUCCCCACGAUCUGAAAGACCUGCAUAAUGCAGCGCAACUUGCUGAUUCUCCUGUUUCACAUUCGGAUCUGCGCCCGCCUCAAGGAGGAGUUUUACGCAGCCCACCAAACACCCCUGCGCAGCCAUAAUAAGUGGUGACUCCCCCCACACGUUACUCUGAUCGAUAUUCAACAGAUCCGGAUACCGUUUAUGUAUCUCCAGCGCAUAGCUCAAGCUCUCCAGCGCAUUCGACUCCACUGCUGCAUGUAAAAUGUUCGCAUUUAAAUUCGACUUUAUAAACAGAUCCGCACCCGUAUUCACAAGAAUCUUCAUUUUAUCCGCUUGUCCCGUGGCACUAGCCCAAUGCAGCGGCGUCCAGUGGAACUUGCGAUCUUUCUGAUCGACUAGGUUCUGUAUGAUUUUGCCUGUAUCUGGGUUUUCCGCUGCCGAAACCCGGAACUGCUCGAUGAUUGUGACGAACAGAGGGGAUCGUUUUUGAUAUUUCACUUUCCAGUGAGACCAAUUGGUGCCAUGUGGGGCGUUGUUGGCAUGAUCGACGAAGUCAAGGAGUUCCUCGAGGGUGGGGCGUUCCAAGUCUUCGGGGUCGUAGAGAUCCAGGACAGCAAUGUGAAUCGGGGUGAAUUCAUAGUCGUCGAUAUAAUCGUCUUGUUUGGAGAAGACUUGGACGAUGUCCUUUUCGGUUUGGGUAGCAUCUGCUCCGCGAGAUUUCAGAAAUGCGAAGUCAACUGGCUUUCUAAAACAAGAAAGUAUUGACCAGUUAGCUGAUGAGAGGCAAUAUUGGAACUCCGAAAAGGUCGGGUUGAAGAUUGUUUGCAGACCUUGCUCCAAGAUCAGAUACUUCAGUCUCCGCACCUAGUUCAACAAGGUACUGCACGGUUGGCAAUUGUCUCGCGUACGCGGCAGUCUAAAAUAAUCGCCAUGGGAGCCCAGUUGUCAGAAAUGAAACCAAUCAUCAAUAAAAGUAACAACGUUGAGUUUACACGAAAAAAAACUUACGUGCAACAAAGACCAUCCAUCCGGCGCCGUAUCCCAAGGGGUUGCCUCCCCCGACUCAAUCGCUAAUUUCAACUUCUCCAAGUUCCCAUGCUUGACAUACCGCAUGGCGUUGGAUCCCUCCGGCACCAUACGGUAGGUAUUUAGCCGAUAUCGAACCUGGAUACUACUCGCCGACAUCAUAUUCGAGAUGGCCUUUUUGAAGAAAGAGACUGGGAUGGGCUUUUCCUGAGAAAUUGUUGCUGCACAACCUGGAUCUGAACACUCAACUUUGGGCUUGUUGUUUUCUCGAAAUACCCUCGCGUUGAACCGUGAUGACGGUGUCUGGGAUUCACCAGUAGUGGGUUCAUCAUGGCAUUUACAGUAACAAUCAUGUCGGCAUGCGCGACGGAUGAUCAGUGAACUCGUUGAACGCGAGUCCACUAAUGUGCUCGAUUGGGGCGAUACGUGACUCCCUCGUCGGUCGCUGUGGCCUUGCACUGACAGAGUGUUUCCAAACGAGGUAGAGGUGGUGGUGGAAGAAUUUUUGGACGAUAUCGAGCUUCGAGAUGACGGUUGUGAUGAUCCGAGAGACAUUGAUAUUAUGGAGGAUGAAUUCGAAGACGGAUAUCUUGAAAUGAGAGGUGAUCUUGAUUCCGACAUAUCGCUGGGGAAUUGAGGCUCGCUUGCCAUCUCCUCAACACCAGUCGAGCAUGUUUCUAAGAGUUGUGGGUGCUGAUUACACAUAGCGAGGAACGUCUCCCUGUAGAGGUUUUAGCAUUUAGAUAAACUAUAGGGAAGUGGGUAGGUUCUACGGACAAAUGCGCCAGUGAUACAAAACUAUGUAAUUGUGCACACUGGCUUUUGAUCUGUUUAGCAAGCGUUUCAAAAUGUGACUUAUUCUGGACG